GGGCAGCAUUUUAGUUUGCUUGCAACUAAAGAUGGCGACCGGCGCACGGGUGAGUAACACGUAUCCAAUUCUGCCGAUAACUCAGGGAUAGCCUUUCGAAAGAAAGAUCAAUACCUGAUGGCAUAGGAUUAUCGCAUGAUAAUCCUAUUAAAGAAUUUCGGUUAUCGAUGGGGAUGCGUUCCAUUAGUUUGUUGGCGGGGUAACGGCCCACCAAGACUGCGAUGGAUAGGGGUUCUGAGAGGAAGGUCCCCCACAUUGGAACUGAGACACGGUCCAAACUCCUACGGGAGGCAGCAGUGAGGAAUAUUGGUCAAUGGACGAGAGUCUGAACCAGCCAAGUAGCGUGAAGGAUGACUGCCCUAUGGGUUGUAAACUUCUUUUAUACGGGAAUAAAGUGAGCCACGUGUGGCUUUUUGUAUGUACCGUAUGAAUAAGGAUCGGCUAACUCCGUGCCAGCAGCCGCGGUAAUACGGAGGAUCCGAGCGUUAUCCGGAUUUAUUGGGUUUAAAGGGAGCGUAGGCGGAAUUUUAAGUCAGUUGUGAAAGUUUGCGGCUCAACCGUAAAAUUGCAGUUGAUACUGGAAUUCUUGAGUGCGGUAAAGGCAGGCGGAAUUCGUGGUGUAGCGGUGAAAUGCUUAGAUAUCACGAAGAACUCCGAUUG
rnacentral:rRNA from 1 species